rnacentral:rRNA from 1 species
CACGGGGGGAGCAAGCGUUGUUCGGAAUCACUGGGCGUAAAGGGCGUGUAGGCGGUCCGGUAAGUGAGAUGUGAAAUCCCUCGGCUCACCCGAGGACCUGCAUCUCAAACUGCCUGACUCGAGUACGGGAGAGGAUGUGGGAAUUCCUGGUGUAGCGGUGAAAUGCGUAGAUAUCAGGAGGAACACCGGUGGCGAAAGCGCACAUCUGGCCCGAUACUGACGCUGAGGCGCGAAAGCUAGGGGAGCAAACGGGAUUAGAUACCCCGGUAGUCCUAGCCGUAAACGGUGAGCACUAGGUGUUGGAGGCAUCGACCCCUCCAGUGCCGCAGCUAACGCAUUAAGUGCUCCGCCUGGGGAGUACGGCCGCAAGGUUGAA